rnacentral:lncRNA from 1 species
AGAUGACUGAAACAAGGUUGUAGGAGGUUGGUUCUUGUAGCCGAGAAUGUUGGACCAGUAAUCGGUGGGGUCUUGUUUGAUGGGUAUUGCGAAGCUUAGGUUGCUGCCGGAAGUAGCAGAGGUGGGAUGAGGGUGAGAGGCGAAUGCGACGGAUGAUGCAGAGGAGAGAUCUCGGUCGUCGGAGCGGCUGCCAGCGUCGAGGCUCUUGGUGUCGGAGGCGGAGUCCGAUGAGUUCUUGGAUUUGUUUGAGAUACCCCCGAUGGGGAGGUUGCUGUUUGCUAUACUUUUUAUGUCGUAGCGGCUCAUGUCGAAGUUGGUCACUGCGUUUAAGCCUCUGAAUUUUAUUGCAGCGAUGUCGUAUGCUUCG